UUAUUUAAAAUAGUUGCCUCUCCUCCUUUUAGUAAAGGCAAGACACAAAAUGCUCAUUAAAGCAAUUUAACAUAGUGGCCCUGUCCGAUAUAGAGCCAGAUGCUGUGGUAAGGCACGGAGGUAGCUCAUUACGGAUCUCACCGGUGGAUAUAGAUUUUUUGGCUUUCCAAAAUUUCCUAGGAUUAUUUAGGUUUUCUGUGGUAACUGACAAAUAGUACUUGGACUUAGCACUUUUGACAUGUGAAGUGAAGCUAUUCCUUAGCUGCCUAAAACGCAGCCAUUCUACCUCUGAGCCUGAUUUCCUAGCCUUUGCCCAGGCCUUGUUUCUCUCAUGCAGGAGACUAGACAGUUCAGCAGAAAACCAAGGAUUGUCACGUCACUUUGCUCUAAAUUUACGCAGGGGUGCAUGUCUA